UCCCCAGUGGCCCAACUGGUUAAAGCGCGGUACCUAUACGACAGCAUCUGCGAGUUAAACCAAGGCUGUGAGUUCGAGCCUCACCUGGGGAA